rnacentral:rRNA from 1 species
CCUACGGGUGGCUGCAGUGGGGAAUUUUGCGCAAUGCUCGUAAGAGUGACGCAGCGACGCCGCGUGAAUGACGAAGGCCUUCGGGUCGUAAAGUUCUUUCGACAGGGAAGAAAAUGAAUAUACGUAACUGUGUAUGUCUUGCCGGUACCUGUAUACGCAGCCCCGGAUAACUCCGUGCCAGCAGCCGCGGUAAUACGGAGGGGGCGAGCGUGGUUCGGAGAGACUGGGCGUAACGGGCACGUAGGUGGUGUUGUAAGUCAUUAGUCAAAGACUAGAGCUCAACUGUAGUAAGGCUAGUGAUACUAUAAUACGAGAGUAUCAGAGAGGAUUGCAGAAUUCCUGGUGUAGCGGUGAAAUGCGUAGAUAUCAGGAGGAAUACCGUUAGCGAAGGCGGCAAUCUGGCUGGAAACUGACGCUGAGGUGCGAAAGCGUGGGUAGCAAACAGGAGUAGAUACCCUAGUAGUC